rnacentral:lncRNA from 1 species
AUGGCUUCAUAAAUGUUAUGUUUUCAAUAUUGUAUAAAUAAUCUGACCGUUAAACCUUGGUACAGUAUAUACGUUCCUUGUUCAAACCAUAAUAAAAAUAUAAAGUUCCCAUAAAAUCAAACAGCUACAGAUCGUCAUAUGGAAUUAAAAUCUUAGCAAAAAAGCCGCACCCACUUAUAAGAUAUAUAAAUGUCUUUACUCUGACUGUUGCAUUUUGAACACACGAGUGAAAGUCCAGCGCAAUGUAGAACAAAAUAGUUUCAACAUUCAUAUAUAUCAUUAUCAUGAUCUUGACCUGCAUGGAUAUGCAUUUAACUUGCAACUGGACGAUUAAACAAAACGGUUAUUGACGACUGCACGAAAACCUUUACUUCAGACAAAACAUGAAAUUAACUGUUCAGGAAAAACGAAGUCCAUCUAGUAGUAAACUACGGAAAAAUGAAAAUAAAUAUUUGCAAAAUUUUGCCCUGGAUACUGUAUUUUGGACAGAAAGAAGCUCCCAAUUUCCCGAAAUUCCAUUAUGUUUGACAACGAUUUUGAUGUAAAACAAAACUUUAACCACACAGACUGAACCUAAAUGCUGAAUUAGUCGGCGUGAAUGCUGACGACGGAACCUAGCAUCGCUAAGUAUCGCUUUCGCGAAACUUGUCAAAAAGAAGGAUGUAUGUCAAAAGAUCCAAGUAGGCAGCUAUUUCACUCAUAAAUCUUAAAGACCUCCUUGCUUUCGACAAGACGACAAUAAUUGUUUUCUUUUUGUCUAGGGGGGGGGGGGUCUUUUUUCUAUAGUAAUUGUAGUAUAACAAAAAAAAUCGCAUUUAGUAUCAUUUUUCUACCUACUAACGUGAAUUUUCUGACACAAAAAUAAAUAUACGACAGAACUGUGCAUUAAAAGUAUGUAAUCAAAUGCCAAACUAUAUAUAUAUUGGAAUUAACUAGAUGUUCUGUAUACAAUAUUAUGUAUGCUUCACAAUAUAUCAAAAUAAAAUGCUGAACGACCCAUCUCCCCCUCCUUUCAAAAAUUGUCAAUAUCCGAUGCAUUUGAAUUAAGCACAAAACAUUUAUGUAAAUACACGCAUGCAAUCAGGGCUAGCAUUUUGAACAUAUAUUUUAAUGGUACCUAACUGUCAGAACAUGAUUACGAUUAUUAAGGGUAUAUAAAUUGUCUCUAACUGUCGCCUGGUGAGAUUAAUAGUUUAAGGUAAAACUUUAUGAUACCAUAUGGCCUAGGUGUUGAUUGACUUUUAUUUUUAUGACCUAAGAUCAGUUCCUCAGAUAUGGUAAUGAAAUAGCACCUGUACCUUCUUGAAUAUACAGACGAUCUGCUAAGUGAACAUCACAGCAUGAAUCUGUCCAUUUUUGCGUGAAGGUAACAUUCAAAGUCAGGUGACAUAUAUCUAACCGUUCCUUUUGUAAUUAAGAUUAAUUAACAUAACGGUCAAAAUAGUCUGUUUUAAUAUGUCAGUGGAAUCUUCAGCUUUAGAAGAAUGUAACAAACUUUGUAUUUAUAAACGAUAUAAAGUAGUAUUUGGUUUUGAAAGAUACUUAGAUUUUCAUUGUAAUGUAUCUAUAUUAACAAAAUUGCGUAGCGGCACACUUAGAUUAAAUGUUGAAGUUGGUCGUUAUCUGAAUACUCAAAGAGAAAAUAGAAUUUGUAUAUGUUGCAAUAUGAAUGUUUUGGAAGACGAAUAUCAUUUUGUUUUAUCAUGUCCAACGUAUAGAUCUGUGCGCAUAGAAUUUUAUAUUUAUUCUACUAUUCUUGGCCAAAUCGGCACAAGUUAGAUAAUUUAUUCUAAAUCUCUGACAGUAAAACUAUGCAUUUAUUCAAA